GCAUAUCAAUAAGCGGAGGAAAAGAAACCAACAGGGAUUGCCCUAGUAACGGCGAGUGAAGCGGCAACAGCUCAAAUUUGAAAUCUGGCUUCGGCCCGAGUUGUAAUUUGUAGAGGAAACUUUUGGUGAGGCACCUUCUGAGUCCCUUGGAACAGGGCGCCAUAGAGGGUGAGAGCCCCGUAUAGUCGGAUGCCGAUCCAAUGUAAAGUUCCUUCGACGAGUCGAGUAGUUUGGGAAUGCUGCUCAAAAUGGGAGGUAAAUUUCUUCUAAAGCUAAAUAUAGGCCAGAGACCGAUAGCGCACAAGUAGAGUGAUCGAAAGAUGAAAAGCACUUUGAAAAGAGGGUUAAAUAGCACGUGAAAUUGUUGAAAGGGAAGCGUUUGUGACCAGACUUGCGCCGUUCCGAUCAUCCGGCGUUCUCGCCGGUGCACUCGGGGCGGCUCAGGCCAGCAUCGGUUUUGGUGGGGGGAUAAAGGUCCAGGGAACGUAGCUCCUCCGGGAGUGUUAUAGCCCUGGGCGUAAUGCCCUCGCUGGGACCGAGGUUCGCGCAUCUGCAAGGAUGCUGGCGUAAUGGUCAUCAACGACCCGUCUUGAAACACGGACCAAGGAGUCAAGGUUUUGCGCGAGUGUUUGGGUGUAAAACCCGCACGCGUAAUGAAAGUGAACGUAGGUGAGAGCUUCGGCGCAUCAUCGACCGAUCCUGAUGUAUUCGGAUGGAUUUGAGUAAGAGCGUUAAGCCUUGGACCCGAAAGAUGGUGAACUAUGCUUGGAUAGGGUGAAGCCAGAGGAAACUCUGGUGGAGGCUCGCAGCGGUUCUGACGUGCAAAUCGAUCGUCAAAUCUGAGCAUGGGGGCGAAAGACUAAUCGA
rnacentral:rRNA from 1 species